ACUGCCUGCACACUCAUGCCACGUGAGGCCGGGCAUUGUUGUGGAUCAGGAGGAAACCAGGACCUACUGCACCAGAGUAGGGUCUGACAAUGGGUUCAAGGAUUUCCUCUGGAUACCUUAUGGCUGUCAGAGCACCGUUUCCUAGGCAGUAAAGGUCUGUGCGUCCCUCCAUGGAUACACCUCCCCAGACCAUCACUGACCCACCACCAAACCUGUCAUGUUGAACCACGUUGCAGGCAGCAUAACGUUCUCCUUGUCUUCUCCAGACUCUUUCACGUCUAUCACAGGUGAUCAGGGUGAGCCUGUCUGCACUGUAUGAGCUGGAGCUUCUCAAGCAGAGGCAGGAGACCCUGGUUCUCGGAGCUCUGCUCCUUAGGGACUCUCCUCUGCCAGGACGACCACCAAGCGGCACCAGAACCCCGGGGGGCCACACGCUCCAAACGAGUCGUCUGCAGGGCACCCACGCUGACUCCAGGUCGUCUUUAGAGGAGCAGGUGGCAGACCUGAAGAUCAACUCUGAGGUCAAGUUGGUCGAUUCAGAUAAAGUGGAGGAUAAGCCCUUCACUUCAGGUGACGUUGAGCCACACAGAUGUCCUGAACCAGAUCACCACCUCGUCCUCCCGUGUUCUCUCUCAACCCCGCAGAGAAGCCGGAUGACAAAGAGGGAAAAACACUUCUGUCAGAGCCAGCAAGACAACCCAUGGUUUCUGAGGAUACGAUACACGAACCCAGUCCCCAGAGUUAUGAGCAGACCCCCAAAACAGAGACUUUUGGGCUUAUCCAGGGCCAGGCUCCUCCCAUGAGGUCCUCUAAACCCCGCACCAGCCUGACAAAUGAAGCUAGAGUGGUCAGUGUGUUGAAACAAACUAGCUUGUCCUGCAAAGAUGAGUCAUCAAGAAAGGUUUCCCUGAAAGAGACAUCUCAGUGCUCGGAGAAAGCAUUUCUCCAGGGUACCCUGCUGCUGGAUCAGGCUCACCAUCAAAGGAUGGGAUGUCCAUUUGACAAUUAAGAAACAUUAGAAUUACAUGUAGUUUAUCUUUUUCUAUUAGAAAUCUCUUCAUAGUUGAUUGUUUAUUCAUUAAGAGUUUGAAUGUUGAUUUUUAAACUUUGUUUUAGCUAAACUCCUUCUGAUUUAAACUUUAUGCAAACUUGUUUUAUCACAAAGUAUUUCAUGAUUGUUUGGUUUUCACAUCACUUCACUUUUACCAUGAGAUACAUUGAUGAUCCCACACAUCUGUGAAUGCUCAGAACAUUUAAGAGAAAUAACUUUUAUUUUUCUUAGACAGUUUUGAUAGAAACAUGAAACUGUUAGACCCACUGGAGACAUGUGCCUGCAGCCAUUGGCUAUAAGCAAGGCCUCCUCUGAGGUCAAAAGGUCAUGCACACUCUCACUUCAGCUCAGAGCAGUUGGAGUUUGGGUUUUGAGCAGAGAACAGCUCUAGGAAGAAGAGGGAAAAUUCUUCCAAUCUUUUUUGGUCUUGUUUUUAUUUCAUCUUACCCCACGUAACUAAGUUUGUGCCAAGACCGUUUUUAUUUACUUUAUCUUUUUGGUAACUGUCGUGCAUUUUUCUUUUGACUAUUUUGAAGCUCGUCACCAUUUGUGCUUCUUAUUUUUGAAACUGAUCGAACGAUCCGCUUUGAGACUAAACUUCAGUGAACUUUAAAUCCAGCACGCUUUUUGUACGACCAUCCACUCCUUUGGCUGUGCAAACCCAGAUGACCACCAGAACUUCAGCCGCAUCCGGUCGUAAGCUCCAGAAGAGUCUUUGACCGUCCUCCUACACCCUGCGCCAAAGCUGCUGCUGCUUUCUUCAUCUCAUCUGCCUCAUGAGAAACACCUCUGUCUGGUGAGCUUUGUCUGAAAGUCCAGUCAAAGUCCAGCUUGAAGCCACCGUGGUGAGGAGACCCUCUCAGCAAAACUGUUGCGGUUUGAUGUGGUCAUAACAGCCAAUUUGAUUUAUCCAGACUAGUGUCUUGAACAGUUUAAAGUAAUUGUUUUCUUUAGA